rnacentral:rRNA from 1 species
AGUGAACGCUGGCGGUAGGCCUAACACAUGCAAGUCGAACGGCAGCACAGUAAGAGCUUGCUCUUACGGGUGGCGAGUGGCAGACGGGUGAGGAAUACAUCGGAAUCUACUUUUUCGUGGGGGAUAACGUAGGGAAACUUACGCUAAUACCGCAUACGACCUACGGGUGAAAGCAGGGGAUCUUCGGACCUUGCGCGAUUGAAUGAGCCGAUGUCGGAUUAGCUAGUUGGCGGGGUAAAGGCCCACCAAGGCGACGAUCCGUAGCUGGUCUGAGAGGAUGGUCAGCCACACGGGAACUGAGAAACGGUCCAGACUCCUACGGGGGGAAGCGGUGGGGAAUAUUGGACAAUGGGGGCAAGCCUGAUCCAGCCAUACCGGGUGGGUGAAGAAGGCGUUCGGGUUGUAAAGCCCUUUUGUUGGGAAAGAAAAGCAGCAGGUUAAUACCCCGCUGUUCUGACGGUACCCAAAGAAUAAGCACCGGCUAACUUCGUG